rnacentral:rRNA from 1 species
UACGUAGGGUGCGAGCGUUAAUCGGAAUUACUGGGCGUAAAGCGUGCGCAGGCGGUAAGUUAAGUCUGAUGUGAAAGCCCACGGCUCAACCGUGGAGUGUCAUUGGAAACUGGGGACUUGAGUGCAGGAGAGAAGAGUGGAAUUCCACGUGUAGCGGUGAAAUGCGUAGAGAUGUGGAGGAACACCAGUGGCGAAGGCGGCAUCCUGGACCGGUAUUGACGCUGAGGCGCGGAAAGCCCAGGGGAGCAAACGGG